GAAAAGAGCCAUCUGGCUGUGACAUUUGUUGCUCAUUAGCCACCAAGGUGGGUUCUGCUCAUCUGAUUGGCUAAAUAGUGUCCUUGUCUUCUCUCACUGCUCCAUACACAUCUGUCCUGACCUUCAUACCUGGCCAUAGAGGGUAACCUUCACUGAUAGAGGAGCACCAUUCUUCCGUAAAGUGUAUAUGAAUAGUCGUAAUCCCAGUUAGAACCUCCCAACAAGGUCUAAAGGUUCAUUUGUAGAACAACAUAGGAUAGCCAAGCUUCCAAGACUCAAAACACACCCACACAAGGUUCUUCAUGUGACAAGCUGCCUUUCUUU
ensembl:misc_RNA 7SK 7SK RNA